UACAGGGGGUGCAGACGUUGCUCGGAAUUAUUGGGCGUAAAGCGCACGUAGGCGGUUCGUUAUGUCGGAUGUGAAAGCCCUUGGCUCAACUGAGGAAGUGCGCCCGAAACUGCAGAGCUUGAGUGCCGGAGAGGGUGGCGGAAUUCCCCAAGUAGAGGUGAAAUUCGUAGAUAUUCGGAAGAACACCAGUGGCGAAGGCGACUCACUGGACAGGUAUUGACGCUGAGGUGCGAAAGCGUGGGGAGCAAACAGG
rnacentral:rRNA from 1 species